AUUGAACGCUGGCGGCAGGCCUAACACAUGCAAGUCGAACGAGUGGCGGACGGGUGAGUAAUGUCUGGGAAACUGCCUGAUGGAGGGGGAUAACUACUGGAAACGGUAGCUAAUACCGCAUACCAUCGGAUGUGCCCAGAUGGGAUUAGCUAGUAGGUGGGGUAAAGGCUCACCGAGGCGGCGAUCCCUAGCUGGUCUGAGAGGAUGACGGGCCACACUGGAACUGAGACAGGGCCCAGACUCCUACGGGAGGAAGCAGUGGGGAAUAUGGCACAAUGGGCGCAAGCCGGAGGCAGCCAUGCCGCGUGUAUGAAGAAGGCCUUCGGGUUGUAAAGUACUUUCAGCGGGGAGGCGGUACCCGAAGAAGAAGCAACGGCUAACUCCGUGCCAGCAGCCGCGGUAAUUC
rnacentral:rRNA from 1 species